CCCAGUUUGAGGAACACAGAUCACAGGUCAUCCCUCCCUCCUAUUCAACUCCAAACAUAAGCUACCUGGACAAGUUUAUCCAGGAAGACAAGCCAGAUUCAUUCUUUUGAAGCUUUAGGAGCUGAGAAAUAUCGAGCCUAGACAGGGUUUCUCUUCUAUAACUUCCCAUACCGUAGAAUCGUAAGAACAUCUCCCACACUGAGGACAGCUCAAAGACAAGUUGGGCAUAUGGCAGGACUUGUCUACAUGGUGUCCCUAGAAUGGGGUCUUCAAUAGAAAAAGGACCAUCCAUACUUUUAGUCCCAAUCUUUAGCACCAGUCUGUCACAGGAGCAAUGUAUGGCACUAAGGUUCUUGGCCUCCUUCUCUCCACUGGAUACCGCCGCCUCCUCAAAACAAGCGAGGAGCGAUGUGGACCCAUGCAGAGGAAGCCUCCGGAGAUACAAAAUUUCAUUCCCAAGUCCAAAUCAAUCUCAAGUCCAAAAAAGUCAAUUUAUAGCAAGGUGCCAAUCCACCAGAUUUAAGGAGAUCGUCUUCCCUCUGGAGGGCACGGGCCUGUAAACGGUGAGGUCAGGUAAUGCACAGCUUCCAUCAGACUUGAAGCACUUAAAGUUCAGAGCCAGAAGGAGAAUUUGAGCUGGAAAUCUCUGAAGGACUCUUUCCUGGCCAGUGAGGACUUAUGUGCCACUGACCUAUCCUAAUGCUUGCAACUGGCAAGCAGGAGCCUGGGAGAUUACUCUAGCAACACAAGGCAGCUUCAGCUCUGCUUAUGCAAGGAGAGCACAAGGAAGCCUACUAUUAGUGGGACACUGGACAGCCCCAGGCACAAGAGGGACAGUGCUGCUGUGGAAGAGGUACUCAGCUCCACAGAAGCCUUCACAACUGAACCCUAUAGUGCCUGCCACCCUUCAAAUCUUAGUUCUCCACCCCAAAAAUAGGCAACCUGGGCAUUGGACAAAGUCCAGGUGAGAGGCCCACGGGUUCUCACGAUGAGAUGCAAUUUUCCCUUCCUCCCUCCCUCCCUGUGACUAACUCUUCAAGUUGUCUUCCUACUUAGUUAGGAAAAGUAGGAAAAAAAAAAGAUUUUUCUUCCCUGUUGGGCUGGACGCUUCUCUUAGAGACCCUGGACCCCUCAUAUCCUCAGCUCACAAAGGACAAGACACUCAAGUAUGGGGAGAGCCUAAAAACUAAUGUCCCCAACUCCUGGCCAGCAGCCGGGUUGCGGGUGGGGCAGGCUGAAGCAACAGGAACCAGUUCAAGUCCUCUUGCAAAAAAAAAAAAAAAAAAAAAAAAAAAAAAAAGAAUAUUAAAUGGAGAAAUGACAACAGAAAGUAAAGUUGAGGAAGUGGAAAAAUAUUGACAUACCUAGGGAUUACCAACUACAGCUACAUCUCUGCAACUGCAGUUAUGAUUGGAUAGGAGAAAGACAGUUUGAGCACUCUUUCCUAUCUUUUUCAUCAAAUGAGUCAAUUUUUCCAUUUACCAUGUAAGUUUGUAAACAUUACUUGUGACCAAAUGGCACCUGUUAAUUGAUUAAAGAAUUUUCUACUGCCAGACAUUUUGGGCAGUGUAUUUUGUAAUUCUUAACAUAAG
ensembl:lincRNA